UGGGGAAUUUUCCGCAAUGGGCGAAAGCCUGACGGAGCAAUACCGCGUGAGGGAGGAAGGCUCUUGGGUUGUAAACCUCUUUUCUCAGGGAAGAUAAUGACGGUACCUGAGGAAUCAGCAUCGGCUAACUCCGUGCCAGCAGCCGCGGUAAUACGGAGGAUGCAAGCGUUAUCCGGAAUGAUUGGGCGUAAAGAGUCCGUAGGUGGCAUUUCAAGUCUGCUGUUAAAGGUCGGGGCUCAACUCCGAACAGGCGGUGGAAACUGAAGAGCUAGAGGUUGGUAGGGGCAGAGGGAAUUCCCAGUGUAGCGGUGAAAUGCGUAGAGAUUGGGAAGAACACCGGUGGCGAAAGCGCUCUGCUGGACCAAGACUGACACUGAGGGACGAAAGCUAGGGGAGCGAA
rnacentral:rRNA from 1 species